rnacentral:rRNA from 1 species
UACAGAGGUGGCAAGCGUUGUUCGGAAUUACUGGGCGUAAAGGGCGCGUAGGCGGUCUUGUCAGUCCCUUGUGAAAUCCCCCGGCUCAACUGGGGAACUGCACGGGAAACAGCAGGGCUUGAGUUCGGGAGAGGGAAGCGGAAUUCCGGGUGUAGCGGUGAAAUGCGUAGAUAUCAAGAGGAACACCUGCGGCGAAGGCGGGUUGCUGGGCCGACACUGACGCUGAGGCGCGAAAGCCAGGGGAGCGAACGGG